rnacentral:sRNA from 1 species
AAAAUGUUAGCUGAUGCUUUAGCUGAGUUGAAGGUGAUGGUGCUACGAUCUCAAAGUGAUGAGAUACCAUUAUCGAAUAGGUUCCCCAUCACUUAUGAAAAAUAUUGAGAAUCAAUACAUAUAUGUAAAGAUUAUAGCAUCAAUUAUAAAAGGAGAGGAAAUAUCGAAAUGUUUAAAAAUGUUAUCGGUUCAAAUAUUACUACGAGUAUAAUAUUGAGGGAAACCAUGGAAAAAAGUUUGAAGUCCCUAAGUAAUAUAUACAGCGUUAUUUUAGAUUCAAUACCAGUUACAAAAUAUUCGGAC